UACGUAGGGCGCGAGCGUUGUCCGGAAUUAUUGGGCGUAAAGAGCUCGUAGGCGGUUUGUCGCGUCGACUGUGAAAACCUACAGCUUAACUGUGGGCUUGCAGUCGAUACGGGCAGACUUGAGUUCGGUAGGGGAGACUGGAAUUCCUGGUGUAGCGGUGAAAUGCGCAGAUAUCAGGAGGAACACCGGUGGCGAAGGCGGGUCUCUGGGCCGAUACUGACGCUGAGGAGCGAAAGCGUGGGGAGCGAACAGG
rnacentral:rRNA from 1 species